GGAUUCGUGGUCCAACGGGAAGACGCCCGCUUCCAGAGCGGGAGAUGGCUGUUCGAAAACCGCUUGCGGUUUUCGAGCCCUGGAAGACGAACGCAGUGAGUCUUCCUCUGGUUCGAUUCGGUCCGAAUCCA
rnacentral:tRNA from 1 species